UGAGGUAGUAGUUUGUGUUGUUGGAAGGGUCUGUGACACUGCCCAGUAUGGAGAUAACUGCGCAAGCUACUGCCUUGC
rnacentral:pre_miRNA from 2 species